rnacentral:lncRNA from 1 species
UACAGAAAUUUGAGCUCCAAAGCGAGUCAGUUGGCACCAGGGGACCAUCUACAAAAUAUACAUCAGAACAGCCUGAUCUGCUUUCUGGGCUCUUUUGGAUCCAUUUAGGGAUAGAGCUAGUGGGGCUUGGGGGCUGCUGGUAAGCAGCUUGUGUUUUAUUUUACCCAGAAAAUUCCCCAGGUGAUCUGAUUUAUCCCCUCUGCGCAAACCGCCUUUGCCACUGUAAUCUCUAGCUUAGCUGCCAGAGGUUAUCUGAUACUCUUGCUCCAGCAGCUCUGGGUAAUGGCUCUGCAUUGGAGUCGUACACAGAAAUUCUCUUCUUACCUUGUGGCUUGGGCUUCCCUGCUGCUUUUGAGAGGCUCACUGCUAGCCGGGCCAUGCGCUUUUCUCCUCUGACUCACCAACUCCCCUCUUGGCUUCCUCCUCCUACUUGCUUUUGCAUAACCGUCCCUACUCAGAGCAUAUUUCACUGUCCCUCCCUUCUGCCAAAAACAAAAAAGGACCCACCUUGCAACACGGGCUUGAGAAAGCACUCGCUCCCAGGAAGCUGUGAAAGUAACAGCUUUAACACUGCUGAGACUCAAGGGGUGGGGAGACUGCUUGAGGUGGGCUGGGAGAAGCAAAUGAGGAAGCAUUUUCCCCCAGACUGGAGGCAUCCUGGAAUGUUGACUCCUGAAAGGCAACUGUGAAGGUCAACUCCCUAUGGGCAGAGUGGGGAGGUGGGGAAAAAGAGAAAGAGAGAUGUUUCAACAGUGGGAGAAUAAGUUGGACUAGAAUAGAUAAGAUUAGGGAAAAAAAGAACACAGUUUUAAGUUUUUCACUGAUUCUUGCUUUUUUGUUGCUCCCUUGAAGGGCAGAGGGGAUGGGAAAAUAGGAAAUAAUGAGCCAGGAGCUCCUAGUAAAACUCAGGCAUCCCUUAUAUGUCUUUGAUGGUUCAGGAACCUAACAUUGCUGCAUAAUUGUGGCUUUAUCUGGAAUCAGGCUCCUGAAAUUCUACCUCUGGUCUUCCAAAAACUGUCAGAGACUGCUUCAGGGGACCCGUGAUGAUUUAGUCAGGGAGUUUCUGGGAUGAAAUCUGGGGAGACUAUCAGUGUGUCUUCUGGUGGACUGUCACCUCAUGUAUCACAUUGAUCACCAAUGUCUGUCUAAAGGUAAAAUAACCUUAAAUAGCUGUCAAAUUUGCCCUCCUUUAUAUGUCAACAGCCCCUGUCUUCAGUCUGCCUUUCAAUUUUUUUUUGCUUGAAUUUCUGCCAACAGUCUCUCACUUUUUCCCAUAUCCCCAAUCUUACGCCCUCCAGCCUUCCCACUCUACGCUGCGGCUAGAGUGAUCUUUCCUAGGAUGGAUCUGAUCCCCAGCAUUUCCC